UAAAGUUUGUGCAACAAGCUGUUGGAUUAAGGGGCCCUUAUUGAAUAGUGCCAUAAACUUGAGGGAUGCAAUCUUUUCUUGGAUAUGAUGGCUCAAAUUCGAAGAAAUGUAAUUUAUUCUGUAUAUCAGGUUUCUCCACCCCUAAUGGCAGAAAUUCAAACCUGUGGUGAAGAAGCAAAACGAGGAAAAUUCUUGAAAGGAAGAUCCAAAAACGAAGGUAGAGAUGGGUGCUAACAAACUUGGUGCAGCUCAAGCUGCAUCCUGAGUUUGCUGUGAUUAUUCAUUCAAAUUUGUCCAGACAGCUGAAAUUAUUCUUUUGCUCCUCCUUGUAGCUGUGGAUUGGUUGCAGUGCCAGUCCAAGUGUUUAUAGGUUAUCUUUACUGUACACGAUUGUUGACAGUGUGGGAAAACAGCAGGGCAUAUAAGACUCGGAUAA